rnacentral:ncRNA from 1 species
GUCAGAAAAUCAGCUCCGCAACUUCGUUAAAAAAGAAUGGCUUUAAGAAUUUUCAAAUGUAAAGCGCAUACACGUGUUGCUAGUUUGUUAGAAGGUUGUGGCGUGAGUUGGAACCUGAGAUCGAACCCGACACGCGAUUGAGGCUUUUACCAUGUCAGCCGAUGGUCUGAUGUGAAGUAAUUAUCCAUUUCGUUUUGUUAACCUACAACAGGUAGGAACAAUUGACGUCUGACUGUUUAAUUGAAACGCAGCCUAGUUAUGACCAAAGACCGGCAUGAACAAAAUGCGGUUUCGGCUUAGUAUUCUGAAGAUGAAGGUGAAGAAAUUCAGCGAAGCACAGCAAAGCGGCAGGAACAACCAUGACUCACUUAAGGACUCUAAGCAUAUGCAUUCAUUUGAAAGAAGGUGACGA